rnacentral:rRNA from 1 species
GACGAACGCUGGCGGCGUGCUUAACACAUGCAAGUCGAGCGGAAAGGCCCUUCGGGGUACUCGAGCGGCGAACGGGUGAGUGACACGUGCGUAACCUGCUCCAGGCUUUGGGAUAACCCCGGGCAAACGGGGCUACUACCGGAUCUGACCUGGUGCCGCAUGGUGUUGGGGGGCAUGUUUCUUCGGCCUGGGAUGGGAGCGCGGCCCAUCAGCUUGUUGGGGGGGUGUUGGCCCCCGAAGGCGCUGCCGGGUGGCCGGCCUUGGAGGGCGACCGGCCACACUGGGACUGAGACACGGCCCAGACUCCUACGGGAGGCAGCAGUGGGGAAUAUUGCACAAUGGGCGGAAGCCUGAUGCAGCGACGCCGUGUGAGGGAUGAAGGCCUUCGGGUUGUAAACCUCUUUCAGCAGGGACGAAGCGUGAGUGACGGUACCUGCAGAAGAAGCGCCGGCCAACUACGUG